UUCAACAACAUCUGGGGUGUCAAGGUUAGCCAUCACUGCCCUAAGCUGCAGCAUGAUUGACAUGUGGCAAUGACAGAGCAAUACAGAAAACGGGGUGUGUUGGCCCCAUUUUCUUGGCACGCUAAGGCCAGUUGCUCUCUCCUUGUAUGCAGCUUCACUGGCUCCAGUGAAACACCGGGCAUCCUGAGUAACCUCAAGGUUCACACAGAGGGUGCAGAUGCCAUGUCUGUUCAUGCAGCAGCGAUCACAGACGGUGGCAGGAGAUGUCUAUUUAUAUGAGACGCCUAGUGCAGUAUUAGCAUAUUAUCACACAGCCGCUGUGUACAAAGAGGGUUACCCAAUCAUAAAUUGUUUCCUUGCCUUAUUUAAUGGCGCAAAUGUAGUAAUUAAUUCAUUACUAGUAACUUUCUCUUUCUUGAUUUUGCCACAAAAGCUUCACUAGAUCUUCUGCCUUUGUUAUAAAUAUGAUUGUUUUAACCCUUGUUUUGCUUUGCAUGGAAAGAUCACCGCUCACUGUGCUGAAAUGAAUUAAAUGUUCCUCUCCUGUGUAAGCAAUAAGUUCCUGUGAAACAGAGACAUCUCCAGCAGCUAUCUCCCUAUCUAUGGGCUUUGGGCAGUCAACUGUGGACAUACAGUGCUAGCAAGGUGCAUCAGGAGCUCAAAUCAAGAAACAAGAUAAAGAAGAAGAGGAAAGAAAAGAUACGGAAAGAGGUAGAGGAGAAAAAGAAAAGGGAAAGGAGAAGAACCAGAAUCAGAAUCACCUGGUCCAAAGCGCGAGUCUCUUGCCUACUACACAACAGGAAGCAGUACGUUUAGGUGGGGAAAUGUCUAAGAGGACGUGGAAAAACUGGAGGCGAGGAUGGACCUAGAGGUUGGGGAAUCUUUAAAAAGUAGCCAUCGAACCCACGUGUCCCUGAAGGAUGAAUAUCCCCCAUCAGCAGAUAUCAUUAUAUCAUCUAAGUCCAUAUAAAGAUCUACUCUAUUCAUCCAAUCCCUAACGGUUGGAGGGGAGGAGGAUCGCCAGCGGACAGGAAUCACCGCUUUGGCGGCAUUGUUGAGAUGGCAUAAUAAGGAAUGUUUAUAGCUCGAGAUGGGUUUAGACGAGUAAUGAAACAGCCAAAACAGGGGAUCUGUUGGUACCUCUUCACCCGUAAUUUCAUCAGAAAGUGAAAGUAUCUCCUUCCAGUAGGGUUGGAGUAAGGGGCACGAUCACCAUAUAUGGAGCGGGUUCCCUGGGCCAGAGGAACUAAUUAUUCCAAUUAGCAUUAUUUAGUACUUAAAGUAUUUUUUCUAAGUGGAAGUUUUUCAACAAUAUCCUAUUCUAGAUAUCCUAUUAUCAGAACAACACUUCAUUAGUAACCUUUCAAUUUCUGCUUUUUAUUGAUUACAGUAUGAACCUAGUACUGUAUUUAAAAUAAGUAUUGAUACAGCCUACAUAUCAAUGCUAUGCUAUGUUGAAAGUUUUUUUUCUGCAGAGCUUGUUGUAAAUUAAUUAUUGGUGAAAAUGAGACAAUACUCCAGAGAUGAAUAAUUAUACUGCAACGUACAGUUCCAAAUUUCUCAAGAGCCUUUAUUAACACGAGGGGUAAAUAUAAUGGAGAUAUCAGAAGUUCUGGAAAUUGUUAUGCAGAAAUUGUCUUUCCUGUGGGUUACACCUACUAGCAGGCAAAGUCGACCAUAGCGCAGGCCUGAUUAUUUGAUAAAAUCCGGAUCUCACAACAGGACUGUUAAGUGACUGCUUCAUUAUACUGGGCCUCAUCUGGCAAUACCAAUCAGCAGUCCUACACAAGUAAGUAAAGUUAUAAUCUCCUUUUAGAGCUCAACUUACUGUUAAAACUGAACUGAGGAACUAUAACCUCCAGCAUUACUAAAGACUCGUCUAUUGGAGUUGAACUAUUCUUAGUUCAGAUUUACCAAUAUGCUACAUUAACUAUUUGGACUUCUGCUGAUCUUGAAGGGUAUCAUCCAUUUAUUGUGUUUACCUAUCAAUAUUAAAUUUUUUAUGAGAAUAUUAAAUA